rnacentral:pre_miRNA from 1 species
UAUGUACUCCCUCCGUCCGGAAAUACUUGUCCUAGAGGUAGAUAUAUCUAGAUUUAUUUUAGUUAUAGAUACAUCCAUUUUAUACAUUUUUACGAUAAAUAUUUUUGGACGGAGGGACUAUAUA